CACGUAGGGCGCUAGCGUUGUCCGGAAUUAUUGGGCGUAAAGAGCUCGUAGGCGGCCUGUUGCGUCCGCUGUGAAAGCCCGGGGCUUAACCCCGGGUCGGCAGUGGAUACGGGCAGGCUAGAGGUAGGUAGGGGAGAAUGGAAUUCCCGGUGUAGCGGUGAAAUGCGCAGAUAUCGGGAGGAACACCGGUGGCGAAGGCGGCGAUCUGGGUAGAUACUGACGCUGAGGUGCGAAAGCGUGGGGAGCAAACGGG
rnacentral:rRNA from 1 species